rnacentral:pre_miRNA from 1 species
CCUGAGAUGGGGGAGGUGUUCCUCAGCCCGGGUUGCGAGAUGGUGCAGGCCAGGCCGAGGGACCCUACCAGUGCACG